rnacentral:rRNA from 1 species
CGGCGGACGGGUGAGUAACGCGUGGGUAACCUGCCUCAUACAGGGGGAUAACAGUUAGAAAUGACUGCUAAUACCGCAUAAGACCACAGCACCGCAUGGUGCAGGGGUAAAAACUCCGGUGGUAUGAGAUGGACCCGCGUCUGAUUAGCUAGUUGGUGAGGUAACGGCCCACCAAGGCGACGAUCCAUAGCCGACCUGAGAGGGUGACCGGCCACAUUGGGACUGAGACACGGCCCAA